rnacentral:tRNA from 1 species
GAAUUUGAAGCGAUUUAUUGCAAUUAGUUUCGACCUAAUCUUAGGUAUAUUUACCCUA